rnacentral:rRNA from 1 species
CAAUAGCGUAUAUUUAAGUUGCUGCAGUUAAAAAGCUCGUAGUUGGAUUUCGGGUGGGAAUGGCCGGUCCGCCGUUUCGGUGUGCACUUGCUACGCCCACCUUGCUGCCGGGGACGUGCUCUUGAGUUCACGCUCGGGACACGGAGUCGGCGAGGUUACUUUGAGUAAAUUAGAGUGUUCAAAGCAGGCCUACGCUCUGAAUACAUUAGCAUGGAAUAACACGAUAGGACUCUGGCCUAUCUUGUUGGUCUGUAGGACCGGAGUAAUGAUUAAGAGGGACUGUCGGGGGCAUUCGUAUUUCAUUGUCAGAGGUGAAAUUCUUGGAUUUAUGAAAGACGAACUACUGCGAAAGCAUUUGCCAAGGAUGUUUUCAUUAA